UACGAAGGGGGCUAGCGUUGUUCGGAAUUACUGGGCGUAAAGCGCGCGUAGGCGGAUCGCUAAGUCAGGGGUGAAAUCCCAGGGCUCAACCCUGGAACUGCCUCUGAUACUGGCAAUCUGGAGAUCGGGAGAGGUUGGUGGAAUUCCGAGUGUAGAGGUGAAAUUCGUAGAUAUUCGGAGGAACACCAGAAGCGAAGGCGGCCAACUGGCCCGAUACUGACGCUGAGGCGCGAAAGCUAGGGGAGCAAACGGG
rnacentral:rRNA from 1 species